rnacentral:lncRNA from 1 species
GAUAGGGCAUUAUUUGUUUGCAAUUUUAUUAUUAAUUUCCCCUUUUGUUCGUAUCAAAUAUUGUGUUAAUUGUUGAUAUUUACUUAUAUUUGGUAUCUGGACUUAAUUCCAGGGAAUGGAGCAGAAAACUACAAAAAGCAGGGACUUUUUGAAGCAAAUUACUUCACAAGUGGGAGUCUUCUGCGAAGCUCCCUCAACGUGUCCCACAAGAGAUCAAACAAACGGCUUCCCUUUUUAGCUGAUGAAGAGAAGGCUGGUACAAGGAGUCCUAGGAACAUUAGGAAACAAGGAGUAAUUCGGCAGGCUUUUCUUUUGAGUUUGUUUGACUCUCAAUCUCGGCGGGGACCACGGGAUAAGAGCAUUUGGAGUCAUCAUUCCUUUUGGACUUUAAAAUGAGAAAGAAACGUACAAGGCUUGUAAAUUGGAAUUGGACUCUCAAUUCGUGCGGGGACCACGGGAUAAAGGAAAGCCUUGUGUCAUGUAUCCUUUUGGCUAUAUAAGAAAGGCUGAAGGGAGAGUUUUAGUUGAGCUUUUUAGCAUAGUUUAGUUUUGUUUCUUUCUUGGCUCUUUUGAUGGCCUGGACCUCAAUGAAAUUACUUGAAGAUUUUCUCAUGAGACGUGGCUAAGUUUGUCUAAUCAAGAACAACGGAGGACUUGGUUCUACUAAAUUUGUGAGAUCGAAUUAGUUUUUAUUUAUUUCCAUUAUUCACUGGUAUUUGUCUAUCUUCUGCUUUAUGUUCAUAUGGUUGUUUUAUUAUUCGAUUAUCCAGGGCCCGGAUUCUAGAUUAAUUCAAUAACCUGAAGCCAAUUAGGAUAGUUAAAUCCGUAAUUGUUUAAUUAUUCUAAACUGGUGGCAACUGGCAUGAUUGGGUUUGUGCCAGGGAGAUAGACAGGCUAACUUAAAGAGACCCUCGUAGCGUGUUGAUUGGUUAGAAUUAGGCUCUUCUAAUUAUUCAUGCAAUUAGAGAAUUGAACUUCUAUGGUCGUACCUAGGGUUAUUUCCUGAUUAGAGAAAUAGUCAACGGUCGUACCUUGGCUAUCGACAAAUUGAGGAAGAGUUGGUUGUUUAUCGCGUGUAUGACAACUAUAACUAAUUUAUCAGAUAGUAACUGGAAUAAUCCUUGCAUCUGUGAUCGAAUUAAGUGAACCAUCUCCGAAGUUGUCUCUUGGCUAGAGUUCAUCCAUUUUUAUUGUUAUUGUGAUAAUUAGUUAUUUGAGUUGUAGUUACUUUAUUUUUAUUUUAAUUUAUUCCAAGUAAUUUAGUUACUCUCAUUUUCAAAAACCCCCCAUAUCUGGAACUUGAGAAGAAAUUAAAUUAUCCCCAGUCCCUGUGGAUUCGACCCUGCUUACCGCUAUAUACAGAAUUUGUAUUUUAUUUGAGCAGGUAUUUAUUAUUGCACAGGUUCGGCACCUGUCAAUUUUUGGCGCCGUUGCCGGGGACUGGUGUCAGAUUAAUUUGUUUCUUUUUGAGUUCACCUUGUUUUUAUUUAUUUAUUUAUUUAUUUUAUUUAUUUUUCUCUUAUUUUUUUUUAUAUAUAUAGUUUAUGGCCUCUAACACUCCGUAUUUUGGUGAUAUAAUGGAUUUUGUUUCCGAGGAAGGCGAUGAGACUAGCUUUUUUGCUAAGUUCGCACAUGCAGAGGCCGUAAACUCUAUUAGAAAACGAAUGGCUGCUGCAACCUGUAAAAUUUGUUAUGCCAGGGAUCAUUCAACUGGUAUGUGCCCCGAAUAUCAAGAUAAUCUGAGUGUCCCACUCAAUAAUUAUGGAGAUUUUUCACCCUGGUCUCAAACGUGGUAUAACUCUAACCCAAACGGGUAUGAUCAAGGAUGGUGGGAUAACUCCAGUUAUGAUUAUACAACAGGGCCAAUGAAUUUUCAGCAGCCAAUGAGUUUUCAGCAGUAUGAGUCUCAAGAACAGUCAUCCAUGUCAGGUAUGUCUCUUGAAGAAAUGGUUGAAUUAAUAGCUACUAACAUAUAUCAAAUUCAACAGGGGGUACACCAACUUCAACAGGAGACACAAAGGAUGAAUAAAGGGAUGGAAGAAGCAAGGCGUGAACGGGCAUUUAAAACGAGCAAAUUGAUUUCUCCAGUUUAUGAAGAAUUGCCCUCACCGACUAUUAUCGACCAUGAGGAAGAUGAGAGUGCAGUUAUUCUGACAAAUGACAUGGUACUGCAAGAAUCUCAAGAAGAAGAAUCUAAAGAUGCAGUUGAAAAGAAAGUUGAAGAGCAAAAAUUGAGACCCCAACAUCAAAUGGUUCAAGUGAAUGAAUCCAGUGAACAAUCUCCAAAUGCGGUGACAUCUCCUCCACUCCUUAAUCAAUACUUUCCUGACUCCUAUUCUUUAACUCCUGUUACUGAAAUUAAUUUUAUUAUACCAGACGAUUUUGAAUUUCAUGCCAGGAAUAAGUUAAGAGUCAUGAUGGCAAAAUAUUUCGAACCAAUAAGUGCUCGUGAUGGAGGAGUGGGUGAAGAUUUAAGAUCAUCACUUGUUUGUUUGGCGCCAUCUACUAAUCCAUGGAAGACCGUAGCUCGGGUGGUCAAGAAUUACUCCAUUUACGAGGGCUAUCAGGAUUAUAUAGAAGAUGAAGCACUGAAACGAGCUACACGAUUUUAUCCUCCGUGAACAAGCAUAGCAAUGUCUAGCCAAAGACAUUAAAGAAAGGCGCUGCUUGGGAGGCAACCCAAGGCUCUUUGUUUUAGUUUUCUUAUGUUUUUGGAGUUUUUGUUAAGUGUUAGUUGCAUUUAGUGAUUUGUUGUUUGGUGGCAGGGAAUUAGCGAUUAGGCGUGCCCACGCCAAGUGGUCACGCCUGAGAAAAAGGAAUUUUCGCUCAGGUUCUGCGAACUCCAUAGUAGUUAGACGUGCCCACGCCAGAUGGUCACGCCUGACGGAGGAAAUUUUCGUUCAGGAUCUGCGGACUCUAUAGCAGUUAGACGUGCCCACGCCAGGUGGUCACGCCUGAGGGAAAGAAAUUCUCGUUCAGGAUCUGCGGACUCUAUAGCAGUUGAGCGUGCCCACGCCUUAGCCAGAGGUUCCUUGACUAAAAAAAAAAAAAAAAAAUUUUAAAACAUUUUCCGUUGUACACCUUCAGUUUUGAUUCUCACAAUUCGGAUUUUGAAAUUUGAAUGUGCAAAAAAAAAAAAAAAGCUAUUUUUUUUCCCUUCUUCUUUCUUUCUUUCUUCUUCUUUCUUUUUCUUUUCUUUCUUUCUUCUCCUCUGUUUUGCUCUGUCCGCCGCCCGUGCCCACCGCCAUCUCCAACUCCACCGCGCGCCACCCUCUUCCUCGACCAGACCGCGUGCCGCCGUUCCUCCUUGGCCACGACCACCACCACCUCGCGAGCACCAGCCGCGCGCCGUGCACACCACCAACUCCCUCCACUCGCGCGCUGCCAUCAGCCCUUCCGCCCUCCACCUUCGCACGGUACCACCAGCUCCCUCUCCAGCCAGCUCAUCACCAGCUCCAGCCGCGCCUCAUCCCACGGUCCACCGCCAGCUCGCGGCCGAGGCUUGCCGCGCCUCUCCCCGCCACAGCUCUUCUCCAGCUUUGACCACCACGCACAGAAGCUCCACUCACGCACGCCAACAGCCCGCCUCUCACGCACAGCUUGUCCAGCCACGCCAUCACCACCUGUCAAAAUUGACAGGUGGAGGUAUUGUAAUUUCUUCCCCGAUUAACAUAGAUUUCUGGAAUUUGUGUUUGGAUUUCUGGUUGGAUAGAAGAAGGUGUUGUUUUGGGCAAUUUCUAGGGUAAAAUUUUGGACGGAAUUGGGUUUAAUUGCUGCCAUACGUGGGGAUAUUUUACUGAUAUUUAUUGAGUUGCUGCUAUUUGAUUUAAAUCCUCCAUGUGUGUACACCAGUGGUACUGGUUGCAUUGUUACUUACAGUUUCUUGAUCCUUAGUGCUUAAAUUAUUUUUCGAAUCCUGAACGGUGGUUGCUGGAAUUGCCAAUUUCUGUGAUCAAUUGCUAAUUUUAGCAGGUUGAAUUGGGUAUUUAACUGUCCAAUUGGAGACAGUUGUUACGGUUUUGGGUCCAUUUGUGUUUAAAUUGUAUAAUUUGUGUCGAGUUGUGGGUAAUUUGCUGUGGCUGUUGGUUAAAUUAAGAGGUGCCUGUUACGCUUAAAUUUGCUUAUUGAAAUUAGUUGCCUCUGAUUGCCUUGUUUAGGAGCAUUUUAUCAUUUUGGUUUCCUUUACUAAGCUAUUUGGAGCACUUGUUGCAUGAUUGGACUGCCUUGAUUCUGAAUUUGACUACAUUUGGACCACAGGGGCUCAUUGAUUGCAUUUGUUAUUAGUGUUGAGGUAUUCGUAUAACCUGUGGGUGAUUGAAUUGUGCCUAUUGUUCAUGGGGUUGGUUUUAAACAAAAAAAAAAAUUUGUUAUUACUUUGAAAUUCCUGUUUCCAUUAUCUGUUGGCAAUUGUAGUCCCUUGUGAUUAGAGUGACAUCUAGAGAUCAUGGUAAGGCUAAGAUCCGCUUCUAGGUUUAAAAUACCUAGACACUCGCAGCCUCCUCCUACCCCAGGGGCUAACGACUGGGUCCAACUCCGAAUGCAAGUUGCAUAACAUGGUGCAGAAUUUGGUAGCACUCCGCCCGACCCACUCCUGUUUUGACAAUUUCAGGGAAGUACCGUUACCCUUCUCCUUCCUUUUGCUGUUAGUUUAUCACAUUGAGGGCAAUGUGUGAAUUAGGUGUGGGGGGAUCAGUUUGGGGUGCGAGUAUUUUUGUUUUUAGUUUCUAAAGGUCGUUCCUUUAUUUUUAGUUUGAUAUUUAUCUCCCUUUUCGUUUAUUUUCUUUUCUUUUUCUAGUGGUCAGUUCUUUUAUGACUACCAAGUUUUGAUGCUGGAUUGUUGCCUCUAAUUAUGCUAUUGCCAAGUUUUAUUAAAAAGGUAUCAAGUUGAUGUGGUUGAGUUCAGGAGUAUCUCUUUGGUGAAUAUCAAUAAUUGCUUAACUUUUCCUAUUUUUGGUUAACUUUUCUAAGCAUGGGGAAUGAUUGUUGGCAUUUUUCAUGUGAAUUGGUCCAUUUAUUAAUUUUAGUUCUCCAUGUUUGGAAAUUUGAGGCUGGCUGCUGUUAUUUUUUGUGCUGUUUUAGUUAUUGUGCUAUAUGGUUCUAAAUAAGAGCUGACUGUACUCCGCUAGUGAUUACUAUUGAGUAACCGGGGAUCUACACCUAAAGUGUCGAUUCUCGCGUCAAAAGGUAGUAGUUACUAUGAGUGCGUGGUCCCGUAACGAUUGGAGUUGAGUAACCGGGCUCCUCCAUCUGUGAAAUGUUGGAGUUCGCGUCAAAAGGCUCUAAUGGCUAUAGAUUAAGUCUUUUGUUAUUCAAAAAAAAAAACAAAAAAAUAAAAAACAAGAAAAUAAAAAAACAAAAAAAAACAAAAAGGAAAAAAAAGUGAAAUAAAGAUUGUGUUAGUGUGUGAAUAAGUCAGCUUGCCGGUUUGUGAUCUUAAUGUCGAGAUUUUGGUUAAUAGUUGGACCAUUUGCUGAUAAAUGUGAACAACCAUUCCUUUUUCUUAGAUUAGUUUGUUUUAAAUUGGAGAAGUUGGGGGUUGGGAAGCUAACUGGAGUAAUUUUCUUUGAUCCUGACCUGUGAUACUUGAUGUAAGUUUUUCUGGAUAUCUUGGCAAUACGGUAGUUGGAGCGAUAGUCAUUGUCAAAAUUUUGGUAUUCAAAUGCUAUCCUCAUGCUUGAGGGCAAGCAUGAUUCAGGUGUGGGGGGAAUUGAUAGGGCAUUAUUUGUUUGCAAUUUUAUUAUUAAUUUCCCCUUUUGUUCGUAUCAAAUAUUGUGUUAAUUGUUGAUAUUCACUUAUAUUUGGUAUCUGGACUUAAUUCCAGGGAAUGGAGCAGAAAACUACAAAAAGCAGGGACUUUUUGAAGCAAAUUACUUCACAAGUGGGAGUAUUCUGCGAAGCUCCCUCAACGUGUCCCACAAGAGAUCAAACAAACGGCUUCCCUUUUUAGCUGAUGAAGAGAAGGCUGGUACAAGGAGUCCUAGGAACAUUAGGAAACAAGGAGUAAUUCGGCAGGCUUUUCUUUUGAGUUUAUUUGACUCUCAAUCUCGGCGGGGACCACGGGAUAAGAGCAUUUGGAGUCAUCAUUCCUUUUGGACUUUAAAAUGAGAAAGAAACGUACAAGGCUUGUAAAUUGGAAUUGGACUCUCAAUUCGUGCGGGGACCACGGGAUAAAGGAAAGCCUUGUGUCAUGUAUCCUUUUGGCUAUAUAAGAAAGGCUGAAGGGAGAGUUUUAGGUCAGCUUUUAACAUAGUUUAGUUUUGUUUCUUUCUUGGCUCUUUUGAUGGCCUGGACCUCAAUGAAAUUACUUGAAGAUUUUCUCAUGAGACGUGGCUAAGUUUGUCUAAUCAAGAACAACGGAGGACUUGGUUCUACUAAAUUUGUGAGAUCGAAUUAGUUUUUAUUUAUUUCCAUUAUUCACUGGUAUUUGUCUAUCUUCUGCUUUAUGUUCAUAUGGUUGUUUUACUAUUCGAUUAUCCAGGGCCCGGAUUCUAGAUUAAUUCAAUAACCUGAAGCCAAUUAGGAUAGUUAAAUCCGUAAUUGUUUAAUUAUUCUAAACUGGUGGCAACUGGCAUGAUUAGGUUUGUGCCAGGGAGAUAGACAGGCUAACUUAAAGAGACCCUCGUAGCGUGUUGAUUGGUUAGAAUUAGGCUCUUCUAAUUAUUCAUGCAAUUAGGGAAUUGAACUUCUAUGGUCGUACCUAGGGUUAUUUCCUGAUUAGAGAAAUAGUCAACGGUCGUACCUUGGCU